UUCCCUACGGGGGGCAGCAGGCGCGAAAACUUUACAAUGCGGGAAACCGCGAUAAGGGGACACCGAGUGCCAGCAUCCUAUGUUGGCUGUCCAUAUGUCUAAAUCACAUGUGUUAGCAAGGGCCGGGCAAGACCGGUGCCAGCCGCCGCGGUAACACCGGCGGCCCGAGUGGUGGCCACUAUUAUUGGGUCUAAAGGGUCCGUAGCCGGUUUGGUCAGUCUUCCGGGAAAUCUGACGGCUCAACCGUUAGGCUUUCGGGGGAUACUACCAGGCUUGGGACCGGGAGAGGUAAGAGGUACUACGGGGGUAGGAGUGAAAUCUUGUAAUCCCUGUGGGACCACCAGUGGCGAAGGCGUCUUACCAGAACGGGUCCGACGGUGAGGGACGAAAGCUGGGGGCACGAACCGGAUUAGAUACCCGUGUAGUC
rnacentral:rRNA from 1 species